rnacentral:rRNA from 1 species
AGCGAACGCUGGCGGCAGGCCUAACACAUGCAAGUCGAACGAAGUCUUCGGACUUAGUGGCGGACGGGUGAGUAACACGUGGGAACGUGCCUUUAGGUUCGGAAUAACUCAGGGAAACUUGUGCUAAUACCGAAUGUGCCCUUCGGGGGAAAGAUUUAUCGCCUUUAGAGCGGCCCGCGUCUGAUUAGCUAGUUGGUGAGGUAAAGGCUCACCAAGGCUACGAUCAGUAGCUGGUCUGAGAGGAUGACAAGCCAAAUUGGGACUGAGACACGGCCCAAACUCCUCCGGGAGGCAGCAGUGGGGAAUCUUGCGCAAUGGGCGAAAGCCUGACGCAGCCAUGCCGCGUGGAUGAUGAAGGUCUUAGGAUUGUAAAAUCCUUUCACCGGUGAAGAUAAUGACUGUAGCCGGAGAAGAAGCCCCGGCUAACUUCGUGCCAGCCGCCGCCGUAACAC